rnacentral:lncRNA from 1 species
GGUGUCAGUUCUUACAGGUUCCUUACACAGCAUGAGUUUGAAGCUUAGGGUAUUGAUUGGCCCUGCCUGAAGCGUUAGUGAGAAACCGUGGGCUUUGAACCUCGGCAGGGCUGUGAACCAAGAGCAGAUGCUGCAGUUCUUCUCCUCAAGGCCUCCAAAAAAGCGUCAUGAGAAAUAAAGGAACUGUGCAGCCAGGGGCAAAAUGCCUCCCGCAACUCCAGGGGCGCCAUUCACAGGAAGCCAGCGUGGACGCCCCUGUGCAGGCCUCUGGGAGCAAGAAAGCUUUUUUCCAAGAUAUGGGGAUGGACAAUUUUCCUGAGGCGCAGACCUUAGGGAGCUUCCCGGGAGAAAGGCUGUUUCCUGUCUUGGGCGUGGAAGCGGAUCCGCCCCCUGAGUCUGAGAGGACAUGGCGGUCGGUAAACAGGACUUAAUUCUGUUCCUCAUCCACCCAGAACCCUCCCUGAGGGCCUCCCCUGCACUUUGGAAACAGCCCAAGCUUUGAAAUCAGGAAGUUUGAAGACUGGUUCUGCUACUUCCAGGCUGUGUGGCCUUGGAUGCCGUGCCUGCGUUUGUGCGGUUGAAGGAAAGGAGGAAAAUGAGAAGGGCCAAGAUUGACCUGACUUGAUUUACGGGAAAGAAGAGACAGUUGCUGGAGGAAGAAGGACCCAUCCACUGGAAAAGGAUGAGAAAAAGGAGAGAGAGAGAAGUCAGAGGCUGGGUUGGGAGUGAAUUUGGGAGAUUGUGGAGGAAAAGAGGAGAGAGAUUUGUGGGGUAGCUGUAGGACAUGCAACUGUAUUUAGAAAGGGAGAGAGUUGGGAGACUUUGUGGGAUUAUUAAAUUUCCCUUUAGCAUUUGUAGAGGGCAUUCCAUUAAAUACGCCAAUGGUUUUAUCAAA